rnacentral:lncRNA from 10 species
GAGAAUUCCGCGUGCGCAGGGCGGGAGGGGGGAGUUGGCCUAAUGCCCCUGUGGGCUCGGCCUGCCGCCGCCGCGGGGCCUCUGACACUGCGCGCCAGGCCAGGUUCCUGAGAGCAGACAGCGCGGGCUGGGAGCGCCGGCAAGGGCGGCCCUCGCGCACCUGGCUGCCAGCCCGCAGGGGGCUCGCACGCAGACCUGCCCUUGCCACCUCAGCGCUCGGGUGCGGGCUGGGGGCGGUGGAGCCACGAAAGGUGGUGCCGAGAGCGGAGCGCAGGACAGCGCAGGAGCCCCGGCGCAUCGCGGCGCGCACAGACCCAGGAUUUGUGAAGAGGUGACCCAAAUUUCAAGACAAUGUUGGAUGCAAACGGAUUUGCCAGCAACUGCAUCACUGUCAAAACCAGCUCUGCCCGUGUCUUCCGAAGAUACCAAGUGAAAUACAUGUAGAUGGGAUUUACAUCUGAAAAACCAAGUGAGAAACUGAAGACCAGAGAGGGUGAGUGGUUUACUCAGUUUGGCACAACUGACCCCAACCUAGCCCUCCAUGAGGACUGAGCGCAUGAGAGAUCCUGAGCCACAGCCGCCCAGCCCUGCUCCUCUCGAAUUUCUGACCUACAGGAACUGCAAGAAGUAAUGAAAGACUGCUGUUUAAAGCCACUGCAUUUUGGCAUGAUUUGUUAUGCAGUCGUAGAUAACCAGAAAACAUCGGAUUUACAUUUUAAGGAUUACUUCAUGCACAUAAAAGAAAACGCAACUACAGUGGACCCUGAACAACGAAACAGAGAAGCAAAGAAGUUAGCAAGCUUGUUUUGGCAGAAGAAAAAACACAAAAUACCCAACCACAGAUCCUCAAAAAUAUUGCUAAGCACUAAUUUUGCUAACAUGUUAGACAGCCUUCGGAUCUAGGCAAUCUUGUUCCUCAGCUGGAAAGAGUUCCUGCCAGCCAUGUGAUUCCAAAUCCACCCUGGACAUAUGGGGAUAAUGAGAAAAUCAGCUCCGGCCUUCCCUGGCCUUCCAGCCAAGUGAAUGGGGGCAUCCCCUGGUGCUUCAGCCCGGGGCCCACCCAGAGGAUGCUAGCUGGCCUGCAGAGGCCUCAACCAUGCCCUCCUGGACUCAGGUAAGACUGAGGUUUCCAUGCCCUCAAAACAAUUGUUCAGACAAAAACUCACUGCCCAGGUCAAAGUCACAGCACCAGAAAGCCAACCUGAGGAUGAAGACAAAGCUCUUUGUUGGCACAGUCCCCUGAUCAUUCGAGGUCAGCAUCUCCAUCAAAAUGGACCCAAUGCUGAGGCAAGAAGGAGAACAUCACUGUUAAGAAGGUAAUGAGUCACAAAUGCUAUUUCGAUGGUUUUCUUUGAAAGAAAUACACAGAACCAAACCAAUUUUAAUUAAAGAUCUUGUCUUUGUAAUCAGGCAGCCACAAAUGAAGGCAAAACUGCUUUCAUGUGGCAUAAUAUACACAGAGCUGAACUAGUUUUCCCAUAAAAGGGCAGGUUCUUUUCUUCAAAUAAGAAAAGAGUUUGUUCCUAACAAUAUGGGGGAUGCAACAGAAAGCUGUCUUUUGCAAAGUAUAAAAUUGCAGAUCCUCCCGUGGAAGCCAUUUCUUGAUGCUAAACCAAUGCGAACGUUUGCCAAACGCACAUGCGAGCCGGGAUUAUCCUACCCUUUGAGAUUAGACAUGUGAUCCUGAUUUUUAAGUGAAAAACGCAGCCAGAGGCCAAAUAAACAUACCUACAAGUACAUCGAAAGCUCAAAUGGUUGAGAAAUGAUUGUAACACACCCCGGUGUGUAUUUCUGAGGAAGAAUCAACAUGCACAUGGAAAUUGAUGUUUUGAUUUUUAAUUUUAAAACGACGACAGAACUGAAAUACCUCCCCUAACUAGGUCCACUGAAACCAGUGAGGAGAUAAUCAUUUUCAGUUAAAUAUGCAUGUAAUUUAAUAAUCCACAGAUGGAAAAUGCAUUUGAGGUGGACUGAACACAGCCAGGAGUUUUUGCUUAUCGACAGCACUGAAUCCUGCCUUGACUAGAGAGACUCGUCAUGUGAUCAACUGUGGCCAGAGGGCAUCCUGCAGACAGCUCCUGUCACACCACACUGACCAGACUCUUAUGAGUAUUUAAGCAUCUUCAGGGAAGCGAUUGACUGUCUUAUAAUGGUCUUACAAGUACGGAACUUUAUUACCUGCUAAUAAUCAGAGCACAUGAUGGCACAAUAGAAUAUACGAGUGAAGUUCUAAAUGCAAGGUUGUUCUUAUUCUGUGAGUGGCAAAACUCAUGCAGUGAGCAGAUAAAGCUGGCAGGAGGCAUUGGCGCCCUAAUGCUGGGCACUAACCACCUGCCCGGACUGCGAAUAUCUGUUGGGUCCUUUCUAUAUCUGGUCUAUUCUCGUGUUUGAUUAUAUCCUGGUGGCAAGAAUAGCAAAAUCAACUCUCCUUCCUAUCCCAUGUGGAGAGGCAUGAUUUGAGUCAGAGAGCAUUAUCCUCUCUGCGUUAUCCAACCCCAUGUCCCAUGAUGCACUUUGUAGACAAGCAAGUGUCCCUGGUGGAGAAUCCACAGCCACACAUCCUCAUUGGUUGCAAGGAUCAGUGUCCAAUAUCUACUGCCAUGAUCAUUCUCAGUUUUACAUCCACAGAGCUUCAUAGAAUUCUAACACCACAGGUCCAAGUAGAGGUUUUGGCCUCAGAGUGGGCUAGAUUCCACCUCUGACAGCAGCUGUGGGACUGUUUUUCCAUCUGUAAAAUGGAGACAAGAGUAUCACCUACCUCAUGGUGUUGGUGGGAUCGUUAAACAGAAUUCCGAUCAUGAAACCCUUAGCCUGCUCCCUGCAUAGGCUGCAUGCGCUCAGUGAGCUAUGGCUCUGUUUCAUGCUGACUUUACCAUCAUGUAAGCAGUUUUAAAAAUGCUAGAAGCUUUAGUCAUAGAAUUACCAUAUGAUACAGCCUACUGCAGAGUCCAGAGGCUGAGGCAGGAGAGUUACUUGAACCUGGGAGGCGGAGGUUGCAGUGAGCCAAGAUCGCGCCACUGCACUCCAGCCUGGGCAACAGAGUGAGAUUCUGUCUCAACACAAAAAAGAAGACAUGUGUCCCCAUCACAGUAUCAUACAGAGUGCUUCCACUGCCCUAAAAUACCCUGUGCUCUUCCUAUUCAUCCCUCUCUUCAACCCCAGCAACCACUGAUCCUUUUACCAUCUCCAUGGUUUUGCCUUUCCCAGAAUGUCAUAUUGUUGGAAUCAUACGCUAUGUAGCCUUUGCAAAUGGGCUUCUUUCACCGAGCAAUGUGCAUUGAAGGUGCCUCUAUGACUUUUCAAGGGUUGAUAGCUCAUUCCUUUUUAUUGCUAAAUAAUAUUCCAUUGUCUGAAUGUACCACAUUUUGUUUAUCCAUUCACCUACUAAAGGACAUCUUGGUUGCUUCCAAGUUUGGGCAAUUAUAAAUAAAACUGCUAUAAACAUUGUGUGCAGGUUUUUUUUUCUAGAUGUCAGUUUUUAACUCAUUUGGACUAUAGAGCACUAUUGCUGGAUCAUAUGAUACGUGUGUGUUUAGUUUUAUGAGAAACUGCCAAACUGUCUUCCAAAGUGGCUGCACCAUUUUGCAUUCCCACCGUCAAUGAAUGAGAGCUCCGGUUGUUCCACAUCCUCACCAGCAUUUGGUGUUGUCAUUGUUUUGGAUUUUAGCCAUUUCAUAGGUGUGUAGAGGUAGCUCAUUGUUUUAAUCUAAUAAACAUCUUAUUGAAGAAUAACACACAAGCAGAAAAUUUCAGAGAUACAAACGAACAGCUUUUUCAACCAUCACCCACUGGAUACAGUUCUGUAUCCAGCACCCAGGCCAAGAAACUGACACUAACGGUGCCCUGUGCCC